GUGGCAGUAGCUCAGUGGAAGAGCUCCCACUUCGUACGCGGGAAGACCUGGAUCCGAUUCCCGGCUGCUUACC
rfam:Toxocara canis scaffold1183, whole genome shotgun sequence.